AUUUCAUUCCACUCUGAACGCGCCCGAUCUCAUCUGAUCUCAAAAGCUAUGCAGGGUCGGACUGGUUAGUACUUGGUGGGAGACCGCCUGGGAAUUUCAUACCGUAUAUCAGAUU
rnacentral:rRNA from 1 species